AACUUCCGCUCGUGACUUCCUCUUUUGAUUUACCGUAAUCGUCCCCCACUCUCAGUCCCCCCUUGACUUACCGUAACCUUACCCCACCCUCUUUCCCCCUUCAUUUACCGUAAUCCUACCCUCCCUMUUUCCCACCUCGAUUUACUGUAAGCCUUGACCGUAAACAUCCUGUUUUUGAACAGAUGUCCACAGCCCGCCUGUCUGUUCACCCUCCCCUCUUGACCGCGAACAUCCUGUUUUGAACAGAUGUUAGGUCUAUUGCAACCCUCCUUCCAGGGCCCACCUGUCUGUCACCCUCCCCUCCCUGAUAACUGCCAGAAGUGUUAAAAGUUUCCAUCAAUGUGACCCAUCGUCCAAUCAGCGGUUAGGGUUAGGCGUUAGACCCCACCCCUCAGCCAAUCAGAUCCCUCCUCUUUCUCUCUCUCUCUCUGUCUCUCUCUCUCUCUCUCUCCCUCUCUCUCUCUCUCUGUGUCAGUCUCUGCUUGACCCUCGAAACAUUCAGAGCAAAAAGUUAUUUUGAGUUUCAAAAACUGUGUUUUUUUGAUGAAGAAGAAGAAUGCCUUUAAUCGGACUCGAUAAAGCUACUGAAAAUGUAACUUUCCAAGGGGAGGGGUUUCAGUCAGACCCGGGUACAAGUCCUGUUCAGAAUCUUUGGAGCUCUGAAGAUCCAGCAGCUUUCYGUGUGGUUCAGCCCGAUCCAUUCCCCGCCACGACGCCUGACCUGACCGAUCCAAACCAUCCGUUACCUACACAGACAGACGCGGUCCGACUGAAUCCUAACCAGGCCUAUAUAGUACCCACUCUUCGUGUGAGAAGGAGCAGGAUCGAGAGGGCUCUCCGACGCAGAGCUGGCCCGCGCGGGUAUCUGUCAAGAAGAAGAAGAAAUCAUUCGUCCAUCUUCGAUGAAUUGAGGAGUCACUGCCUUCAACCAUCCUGCAUUUAACUGAACUCUGCAUAAGAUUGUUUGAGGAAUAAAAUAGCUG